GGGUUGUGAGGUUAAGCGACUAAGCGUACACGGUGGAUGCCCUGGCAGUCAGAGGCGAUGAAGGACGUGCUAAUCUGCGAUAAGCGUCGGUAAGGUGAUAUGAACCGUUAUAACCGGCGAUUUCCGAAUGGGGAAACCCAGUGUGUUUCGACACACUAUCAUUAACUGAAUCCAUAGGUUAAUGAGGCGAACCGGGGGAACUGAAACAUCUAAGUACCCCGAGGAAAAGAAAUCAACCGAGAUUCCCCCAGUAGCGGCGAGCGAACGGGGAGCAGCCCAGAGCCUGAAUCAGUGUGUGUGUUAGUGGAAGCGUCUGGAAAGGCGCGCGAUACAGGGUGACAGCCCCGUACACAAAAAUGCACAUACUGUGAGCUCGAUGAGUAGGGCGGGACACGUGGUAUCCUGUCUGAAUAUGGGGGGACCAUCCUCCAAGGCUAAAUACUCCUGACUGACCGAUAGUGAACCAGUACCGUGAGGGAAAGGCGAAAAGAACCCCGGCGAGGGGAGUGAAAAAGAACCUGAAACCGUGUACGUACAAGCAGUGGGAGCCUCUUUUAUGGGGUGACUGCGUACCUUUUGUAUAAUGGGUCAGCGACUUAUAUUCUGUAGCAAGGUUAACCGAAUAGGGGAGCCGAAGGGAAACCGAGUCUUAACUGGGCGUUAAGUUGCAGGGUAUAGACCCGAAACCCGGUGAUCUAGCCAUGGGCAGGUUGAAGGUUGGGUAACACUAACUGGAGGACCGAACCGACUAAUGUUGAAAAAUUAGCGGAUGACUUGUGGCUGGGGGUGAAAGGCCAAUCAAACCGGGAGAUAGCUGGUUCUCCCCGAAAGCUAUUUAGGUAGCGCCUCGUGAAUUCAUCUCCGGGGGUAGAGCACUGUUUCGGCAAGGGGGUCAUCCCGACUUACCAACCCGAUGCAAACUGCGAAUACCGGAGAAUGUUAUCACGGGAGACACACGGCGGGUGCUAACGUCCGUCGUGAAGAGGGAAACAACCCAGACCGCCAGCUAAGGUCCCAAAGUCAUGGUUAAGUGGGAAACGAUGUGGGAAGGCCCAGACAGCCAGGAUGUUGGCUUAGAAGCAGCCAUCAUUUAAAGAAAGCGUAAUAGCUCACUGGUCGAGUCGGCCUGCGCGGAAGAUGUAACGGGGCUAAACCAUGCACCGAAGCUGCGGCAGCGACGCUUAUGCGUUGUUGGGUAGGGGAGCGUUCUGUAAGCCUGUGAAGGUGUGCUGUGAGGCAUGCUGGAGGUAUCAGAAGUGCGAAUGCUGACAUAAGUAACGAUAAAGCGGGUGAAAAGCCCGCUCGCCGGAAGACCAAGGGUUCCUGUCCAACGUUAAUCGGGGCAGGGUGAGUCGACCCCUAAGGCGAGGCCGAAAGGCGUAGUCGAUGGGAAACAGGUUAAUAUUCCUGUACUUGGUGUUACUGCGAAGGGGGGACGGAGAAGGCUAUGUUGGCCGGGCGACGGUUGUCCCGGUUUAAGCGUGUAGGCUGGUUUUCCAGGCAAAUCCGGAAAAUCAAGGCUGAGGCGUGAUGACGAGGCACUACGGUGCUGAAGCAACAAAUGCCCUGCUUCCAGGAAAAGCCUCUAAGCAUCAGGUAACAUCAAAUCGUACCCCAAACCGACACAGGUGGUCAGGUAGAGAAUACCAAGGCGCUUGAGAGAACUCGGGUGAAGGAACUAGGCAAAAUGGUGCCGUAACUUCGGGAGAAGGCACGCUGAUAUGUAGGUGAAGUGAUUUACUCAUGGAGCUGAAAUCAGUCGAAGAUACCAGCUGGCUGCAACUGUUUAUUAAAAACACAGCACUGUGCAAACACGAAAGUGGACGUAUACGGUGUGACGCCUGCCCGGUGCCGGAAGGUUAAUUGAUGGGGUCAGCGCAAGCGAAGCUCUUGAUCGAAGCCCCGGUAAACGGCGGCCGUAACUAUAACGGUCCUAAGGUAGCGAAAUUCCUUGUCGGGUAAGUUCCGACCUGCACGAAUGGCGUAAUGAUGGCCAGGCUGUCUCCACCCGAGACUCAGUGAAAUUGAACUCGCUGUGAAGAUGCAGUGUACCCGCGGCAAGACGGAAAGACCCCGUGAACCUUUACUAUAGCUUGACACUGAACAUUGAGCCUUGAUGUGUAGGAUAGGUGGGAGGCUUUGAAGUGUGGACGCCAGUCUGCAUGGAGCCGACCUUGAAAUACCACCCUUUAAUGUUUGAUGUUCUAACGUUGACCCGUAAUCCGGGUUGCGGACAGUGUCUGGUGGGUAGUUUGACUGGGGCGGUCUCCUCCUAAAGAGUAACGGAGGAGCACGAAGGUUGGCUAAUCCUGGUCGGACAUCAGGAGGUUAGUGCAAUGGCAUAAGCCAGCUUGACUGCGAGCGUGACGGCGCGAGCAGGUGCGAAAGCAGGUCAUAGUGAUCCGGUGGUUCUGAAUGGAAGGGCCAUCGCUCAACGGAUAAAAGGUACUCCGGGGAUAACAGGCUGAUACCGCCCAAGAGUUCAUAUCGACGGCGGUGUUUGGCACCUCGAUGUCGGCUCAUCACAUCCUGGGGCUGAAGUAGGUCCCAAGGGUAUGGCUGUUCGCCAUUUAAAGUGGUACGCGAGCUGGGUUUAGAACGUCGUGAGACAGUUCGGUCCCUAUCUGCCGUGGGCGCUGGAGAACUGAGGGGGGCUGCUCCUAGUACGAGAGGACCGGAGUGGACGCAUCACUGGUGUUCGGGUUGUCAUGCCAAUGGCACUGCCCGGUAGCUAAAUGCGGAAGAGAUAAGUGCUGAAAGCAUCUAAGCACGAAACUUGCCCCGAGAUGAGUUCUCCCUGACCCUUUAAGGGUCCUGAAGGAACGUUGAAGACGACGACGUUGAUAGGCCGGGUGUGUAAGCGCAGCGAUGCGUUGAGCUAACCGGUACUAAUGAACCGUGAGGCUUAACCUUACAACGCCGAAGCUGUU
rnacentral:rRNA from 1 species